rnacentral:snRNA from 1 species
AGUUGUGAGGGUGAUCUGGCUGCGACAUCUGUCACCCCAUUGAUAACCAGGGUUGAUUUGGCUGAUCUGGCUGGCUAGGCGUGUGUCCCCUUCCUCCCUCACCACUCCAUGUGUGUCCCCCCAACAAAGCUGCAGCUCAAUGGAGGAGGACGACCAUGACCAAUACAGGAGGACUGUUCUUUGGUCAAGGGUAUAGAAGUAGCUGAAAUCCCCUGAUAGAACCUCCAAACAAGCUCUCAAGAAUAUGAAAUUAUGACAUUUUAACCAAUGUAUCUUUGCUCAUUUUCUGAUACAUGCCAGAUGUUUAGA